AGACGCGUAGGCGGGGAGUAUAAGUCAGAUGUGAAAUCCUGGGGCUCAACCUCAGAACUGCAUUUGAAACUAUAACUCUUGAGGGUAGGAGGAGAAAACGGAAUUCCACAAGUAGCGGUGAAAUGCGUAGAUAUGUGGAAGAACACCGGUGGCGAAGGCGGUUUUCUAGUCUUAUUCCUGACGCUGAGGCGCGAAAGCAAGGGGAUCAAACAG
rnacentral:rRNA from 1 species